CUACGGGCCGCACCAGUGAGGAAUAUUGCACAAUGGGGGGAACCCUGAUGCAGCAACGCCGCGUGGAGGAUGACGCAUUUCGGUGUGUAAACUCCUUUUAUAUGUCAAGAAGAUGACGGUAGCAUAUGAAUAAGCACCGGCUAACUCCGUGCCAGCAGCCGCGGUAAUACGGAGGGUGCAAGCGUUACUCGGAAUCACUGGGCGUAAAGGACGCGUAGGCGGGGUGGAAAGUCAGGUGUGAAAUCCUACAGCUUAACUGUAGAACUGCACUUGAAACUUCUAAUCUAGAGUAUGGGAGGGGGAGAUGGAAUUAGUGGUGUAGGGGUAAAAUCCGUAGAUAUCACUAGGAAUACCUAAAGCGAAGGCGAUCUCCUGGAACAUUACUGACGCUAAGGCGUGAAAGCGUGGGGAGCAAACAGGAUUAGAUACCCUAGUAGUC
rnacentral:rRNA from 1 species